rnacentral:rRNA from 1 species
UACAGAGGGGGCAAGCGUUGUUCGGAAUUACUGGGCGUAAAGCGUGCGCAGGCGGUUUUGUAAGCCAGAUGUGAAAUCCCCGGGCUUAACCUGGGAAUGGCAUUUGGGACUGCAAGGCUGGAGUGCGGCAGAGGAGACUGGAAUUCCUGGUGUAGCAGUGAAAUGCGUAGAUAUCAGGAGGAAUACCGAUGGCGAAGGCAGGUCUCUGGGCUGACACUGACGCUCAUGCACGAAAGCGUGGGGAGCAAACAGG